rnacentral:lncRNA from 1 species
CAAUACCCAGACAUAUUAGUGCAGAAGAUAAUUAUUAUAGAAGGCAUAGCAGUGCAUAAAAGAAACUGUGAUUUGAAAUAAAAACUACAAAUAUAAACUUCCUGGGACAAGUUCAGAAAAAGAAAGUGUGAAUAUAUAUGGAUGAGAAGGGUGUAACAAGCUUACCUAAGUAGAGUAAUUCCACCUGUACUAUCUCAUGAAGCUCACCACCACAGUCUCUGGAGGCAAACAGCUUUGCAUAAACCUGGCCAUUUUCACUGCCUUUCUGGACCAUGCACAACUGAGAUCACCAUAGCAUGGUAGCACAUUUAUAAACCUAACAGACAUCAUCGGGAGGAAUGAAGACACACAGGUCUUCGAGAGCAUAAAG